AAGGAGAACAUCUAGAAGUAUCAGAGCAAAGCAUAUCUAGAUUUCUAUAAUAAGGGGAAGAACAAAAGACUAAAUCCACUAAAUAAAAAUAUAAGCAAUACACUGAAAUCCCAAAAUACAAGAGCUAAACAAGGUACAUAGGUGGUCUCUAAACAUGGUAACAAAACUCUCUCUCUCACAAAUACCAAAAAAAAGAGAGUGACCACCUAGGAGCAACAGCAAGCUCCGCUAUCUAGCUAUGCGACUCCCUUGCCGCGAUCCUGUGCCUCCGCCAGUGCUGAAGGCUCUGAAAGAAAACCACAAAACAGAGGGCGUGAGAACUAUAAAAUAAUAGUUUUCAGUAGGCAAUUACUGACUUCAGUGAAAUACGCCACUAGGCCCAAUAGCUGUACAAAAGAGGGUAAAGUACAUAUAAAUAGAUAAAAGCGAGGAAUACGACAAGUAAAUGAGCAUGAAUAUUUGCUACCACAUGAUAUCUCUACUUAGCAUGAUUUAGCAUAAGUAAAAAAUCUAUUCUACCAAGAAUACGAGUGUAUAUGCAACCAACAUAAAGUCCCCAAUGUAAUAGUAAAAUGUCCAGUUUACUAUUCUAGUCAAUGUCCACAAGUCAUGAUGAAUGCUCAAAGUCAAAUCUGAAGAGACCCGCCCGAAGGCUGUCUGGCCCUGAGACCCACCCGUAGGCUGUCUGGCCGGUGCCGAGCCUAAUAGCCCCGUGGUAGUCAACAUCCCCACCUUAGGGAUGAGCCUAGCCCACGGCAAUCCACUUCUGUACCCAAUCCCGCACGACGAAUAUGUAUCGCGAUGGCUAUCUCCGGAGUGCCGGCUUGUAGGGAGCGACCCUCACAAGCAUGUGCGAAUGAGCACAAUGGCAAGUAGCGCAAGAUCCGUCCAAGUAUCAAGUCCUCAUGUCU
rnacentral:lncRNA from 1 species